rnacentral:rRNA from 1 species
AGGGAAUCUUCCGCAAUGGGCGAAAGCCUGACGGAGCAACGCCGCGUGAGUGAUGAAGGUCUUCGGAUCGUAAAACUCUGUUAUUAGGGAAGAACAAAUGUGUAAGUAACUGUGCACGUCUUGACGGUACCUAAUCAGAAAGCCACGGCUAACUACGUGCCAGCAGCCGCGGUAAUACGUAGGUGGCAAGCGUUAUCCGGAAUUAUUGGGCGUAAAGCGCGCGUAAGCGGUUUCUUAAGUCUGAUGUGAAAGCCCACGGCUCAACCGUGGAGGGUCAUUGGAAACUGGGAAACUUGAGUGCAGAAGAGGAAAGUGGAAUUCCAUGUGCAGCGGUGAAAUGCGCAGAGAUAUGGAGGAACACCAGUGGCGAAGGCGACUUUCUGGUCUGUAACUGACGCUGAUGUGCGAAAGCGUGGGGAUCAAACAGGAUUAGAUACCCUGGUAGUCCACGCCGUAAACGAUGAGUGCUAAGUGUUAGGGGGUUUCCGCCCCUUAGUGCUGCAGCUAACGCAUUAAGCACUCCGCCUGGGGAGUACGACCGCAAGGUUG